AUACGGAAGGUCCGGGCGUUAUCCGGAUUUAUUGGGUUUAAAGGGAGCGCAGGCGGAGAUGCAAGCGUGACGUCAAAUUUCGGGGCUCAACCCCGUCUCGCGUCGCGAACUGCGUCCCUUGGUUGCAGGAAGGGGAGGCGGAACUCGUGGUGUAGCGGUGAAAUGCAUAGAUAUCACGAAGAACUCCGAUCGCGAAGGCAGCCUUCCGGCCCGUCAACGACGCUCAUGCUCGAAGGUGCGGGUAUCAAACAGGAUUAGAUACCCUGGUAGUCCGCACAGUAAACGAUGGACACCCGCGGUUUGGCCUGUAUGGCUGAGCCGCCAAGCGAAAGCGUUAAGUGUCCCACCUGGGGAGUACGCCGGCAACGGUGAAACUCAAAGGAAUUGACGGGG
rnacentral:rRNA from 1 species